UACGAAGGUGGCAAGCGUUGUUCGGAUUUACUGGGCGUAAAGGGCGUGCAGGCGGUCUGUUAAGUGCAGGGUGAAAGCUCCCGGCUCAACUGGGAGAGGUCCUUGCAUACUGGCGGACUUGAGGGGGGUAGAGGAAAGUGGAAUUCCCGGUGUAGUGGUGAUAUGCGUAGAUAUCGGGAGGAACACCUGUGGCGAAGGCGGCUUUCUGGGCCCUACCUGACGCUGAGACGCGAAAGCGUGGGGAGCGAACCGG
rnacentral:rRNA from 1 species